UACAGAGGUCUCGAGCGUUAGGCGGAAUCACUGGGCUUAAAGCGUGUGUAGGUGGAUUUGUAAGUACCUUGUGAAAUCCCAUGGCUCAACCAUGGAACUGCUCGGUAUACUGCGAAUCUUGAGCCACUUAGGGGCUACCGGAACAAAUGGUGGAGCGGUGAAAUGCGUAGAUAUCAUUUGGAACGCCAAUGGUGAAAACAGGAUAGCUGGGAGUGUGCUGACACUGAGACACGAAAGCCAGGGGAGCGAACGGG
rnacentral:rRNA from 1 species